CGAGCGCAUCCUUCGGGAUGAGCGGCGGACGGGUGAGUAACGCGUGGGAAUGUGCCCUUCUCUACGGAAUAGCCACUGGAAACGGUGAGUAAUACCGUAUACGCCCUCAGGGGGAAAGAUUUAUCGGAGAAGGAUCAGCCCGCGUUAGAUUAGGUAGUUGGUGGGGUAACGGCCUACCAAGCCUACGAUCUAUAGCUGGUUUUAGAGGAUGAUCAGCCACACUGGGACUGAGACACGGCCCAGACUCCUACGGGAGGCAGCAGUAGGGAAUCUUGGACAAUGGGGGCAACCCUGAUCCAGCCAUGCCGCGUGAGUGAAGAAGGCCCUAGGGUCGUAAAGCUCUUUCGCCUGUGAUGAUAAUGACAGUAGCAGGUAAAGAAACCCCGGCUAACUCCGUGCCAGCAGCCGCGGUAAUACGGAGGGGGUUAGCGUUGUUCGGAAUUACUGGGCGUAAAGCGCGCGUAGGCGGAUUGGAAAGUUGGGGGUGAAAUCCCGGGGCUCAACCCCGGAACUGCCUUCAAAACUCCCAGUCUAGAGUUCGAGAGAGGUGAGUGGAAUUCCGAGUGUAGAGGUGAAAUUCGUAGAUAUUCGGAAGAACACCAGUGGCGAAGGCGGCUCACUGGCUCGAUACUGACGCUGAGGUGCGAAAGUGUGGGGAGCAAACAGGAUU
rnacentral:rRNA from 1 species